rnacentral:rRNA from 2 species
UAUUAUAUUUAAUAUAUUUUAUAUUAUCAGGGUAGUAUUAGUAAGUUCUUGAAACCCAAAGAAUUUGGCGGUGUUUUAGUCUUUUCAGAGGAAUCUGUCCUGUAAUUGAUAAUACACGAUUUGUUUUACUUGAUUUUGUUAUCAGUUUAUAUACCGCCGUCAUAAGAUUAUUUUUAUUUGAGAAUAAAAUUUUCUUGUUUUAUUUGUUAUAUAAUAUGUCAGGUCAAGGUGUAGCUUAUAAUUAAGUAGAGAUGGAUUACAAUAAUAUUAAUUAUUACGGAUUAUUAAUUUUAGUUUAAUUUGAAGGUGGAUUUGAUUGUAAAUUUAUUUUUGAUUUUUAUAUUGAUUAGAGCUCUAGAAUGUGCACAUAUCGCCCGUCGCUCUCGUUAUUAAGAUGAG